CCUACGUGAGGCAGCAGUGAGGAAUAUUGGUCAAUGGACGAAAGUCUGAACCAGCCAAGUAGCGUGAAGGAUUACUGCCCUAUGGGUUGUAAACUUCUUUUAUAUGGGCAUAAAAUUGUCCACGUGUGGGUGUUUGUAUGUACCACAUGAAUCAGGACCGGCUAAUUCCGUGCCAUCAGCCGCGGUAAUACGGAGGGUCCGUGCGUUAUCCGGCUUUCUUGGGUUUAAAGGGAGCGUAGGGGGAUUGUUAAGUCGGUCGUGAAAGUUUGCGGCUCAAACAUGAGAGUGCAGUUGGAACUGGCGGUCUUGAGUACAGGAGAGGUAGGCGGAAUUCGUGGGGUAGCGGUGAAAUGCUUAGAUAUCACGAAGAACUCCGAUUGCGAAGGCAGCUAACUGGACUGCUACUGACACUGAGGCUCGAAAGCGUGGGUAUCAAACAGGAUUAGAUACCCCAGUAGUC
rnacentral:rRNA from 1 species